GCGCGCGGCGGCGGCCGCCUCACGGGGUUCGGGCUGUGUGUACUUGCUUGCACGGGCCCGCGCCGUCCGAGCUGGGCGGUCUGGCGGGUUUUGACUGUUCCGCGUCCUGAGGCGCAGAGGAGAAAGUAUUUGGCGGGCGCGGUUAAUUUAUUCCUGGGCAGAAGGGGUGAGGGAGGCGGAGGUGAGGAGUCUGGGCGUCAGAGACCCGCGAGGACUUGAAGUAGCCGCGGCGGCGUCCGGAGUGGCGCCGGGGUCCCGCGGACGUGCAGUUGCAUCCUGAGAGGAGGAGUGACCGCCCGAGUCGCCCUCCUUCCUUUGUGUCUGGGUUGGAGUUCUCACCUCGGUGCCCUGGAACUGCGCAGGCCACCUGCGGGGUGACGCCUACUUCUCCGCGGGUCGGAGGUCCCCGGGGGUCUUCUGGUAACUCCGGAUGCGGAGGCCCAGCUCAUGGUUGACAGCUCAAAGAGAGAAAAAUUUGAGGGACGAUGGAUGCAAAAGCUCGAAAUUGUUUACUUCAACACAGAGAAGCCCUGGAAAGGGACAUCAAAACAUCGUACAUCAUGGAUCACAUGAUUAGUAAUGGAGUUUUAACAGUAUCAGAGGAGGAAAAAGUAAAAAAUGAGCCCACCCAACAGCAACGAGCAGCUAUGCUAAUUAAAAUGAUACUUAAAAAAGAUAACUAUUCCUACGUAUCAUUCUACAAUGCUCUACUACAUGAAGGGUAUAAAGAUCUUGCUGCCCUUCUCCAUGCUGGCAUUCCUGUUAUCUCUUCUUCCAAUGGCAAAGAUUCAGUUGGUGGAAUAACUUCAUACGUAAGGACAGUCCUGUGUGAAGGUGGAGUACCACAGAGGCCCGUUGUUUUUGUUACUAGGAAGAAGCUGGUGCAUGCAAUUCAGCAGAAGCUCUUCAAACUGAGUGGUGAACCAGGAUGGGUCACCAUAUAUGGAAUGGCCGGUUGUGGGAAGUCUGUAUUAGCUGCAGAAGCUGUUCGAGAUCAUUCUCUCUUAGAAGUUUGUUUCCCAGGGGGUGUGCAUUGGGUUUCAGUUGGGAAGCAAGACAAAUCUGGGCUUCUGAUGAAACUGCAGAAUCUUUGCACACGGUUGGAUCAGGAUGAGAGUUUCUCCCAGAGGCUUCCACUUAAUAUUGAAGAGGCUAAAGACCGUCUCCGCAUUCUGAUGCUGCGCAAGCAUCCAAGGUCUCUAUUGAUCUUGGAUGAUAUUUGGGAUCCUUGGGUGUUAAAAGCUUUUGACAAUCAGUGUCAGAUUCUUCUUACAACCAGAGACAAGAGUGUUACAGACUCAGUAAUGGGUCCUAAAUAUGUAGUCCCUGUGGAGAGUGGCUUAGGAAAAGAAAAAGGACUUGAAAUUUUAUCCCUUUUUGUUAAUAUGAAGAAAGCAGAUUUGCCAGAACAAGCUCACAGUAUUAUAAAAGAGUGUAAAGGUUCUCCUCUUGUAGUGUCUUUAAUUGGUGCACUUUUACGUGAUUUUCCCAACCGCUGGGAGUACUACCUCAAGCAGCUUCAAAAUAAGCAAUUUAAGAGGAUAAGGAAAUCUUCAUCUUACGAUUAUGAGGCUCUGGAUGAAGCCAUGUCUAUAAGCGUUGAAAUGCUAAGAGAAGACAUCAAAGAUUAUUAUACAGAUCUUUCCAUCCUUCAGAAGGAUGUUAAGGUACCUACAAAGGUGUUAUGUAUUCUCUGGGACAUGGAAACUGAAGAAGUUGAAGAUAUACUGCAGGAGUUUGUUAAUAAGUCUCUCUUAUUCUGUGAUCGGAAUGGAAAAUCAUUUCUUUAUUAUCUACAUGAUCUUCAAGUAGAUUUCCUUACAGAGAAGAAUCGCAGCCAGCUUCAGGAUCUACACAAGAAGAUAAUCACUCAGUUCCAGAGACAUCGCCGGCUACAUACUCUUUCACCAGAUCAAGAGGACUGCAUGUAUUGGUACAAUUUUCUGGCCUAUCACAUGGCCAGUGCUAAUAUGCACAAAGAACUAUGUGCUUUAAUGUUUUCCCUGGAUUGGAUUAAAGCAAAAACAGAACUUGUAGGCCCUGCUCAUCUGAUUCAUGAAUUUGUGGAAUACAGGCAUAUGUUGGAUGAAAAGGAUGGUACUGUCUGUGAGAAUUUCCAGGAGUUUUUAUCUUUAAAUGGACAUCUUCUUGGACGACAGCCAUUUCCUAAUAUUGUACAACUGGGUCUCUGUGAACUGGAAACUUCAGAAGUUUAUCAGCAAGCUAAGCUGCAGGCCAAGCAGGAGGUCGAUAAUGGAAUGCUUUACCUGGAGUGGAUAAACAAAAAAAACAUCAAGAAUCUCUCCCGCUUAGUUGUCUGCCCCCAUACAGAUGCUGUUUACCAUGCUUGUUUUUCUGAGGAUGGUCAAAGAAUAGCUUCUUGUGGAGCUGAUAAAACCUUACAGGUAUUUAAAGCUGAAACAGGAGAGAAACUUCUAGAGAUCAAGGCUCAUGAGGAUGAAGUGCUUUGCUGUGCAUUCUCUGCAGAUGACAAAUUUAUAGCAACCUGUUCAGUGGAUAAAAAAGUGAAGAUUUGGAAUUCUAUGACUGGGGAACUAGUGCACACCUAUGAUGAGCACUCAGAGCAAGUCAAUUGCUGCCACUUCACCAACAACAGUAAUCACCUUCUCUUAGCCACUGGUUCAAGUGACUGCUUCCUCAAACUCUGGGAUCUGAAUCAAAAAGAAUGUCGAAAUACCAUGUUUGGCCAUACAAAUUCAGUCAAUCACUGCAGAUUUUCACCAGAUGAUAAGCUUUUGGCUAGUUGUUCAGCUGAUGGAACAUUAAAGCUUUGGGAUGUGAAAUCAGCAAACGAGAGGAAAAGCAUUAAUGUGAAGCACUUCUUCCUAAAUUCAGAGGAACCUCAAGAGGAUAUGGAAGUGAUAGUGAAAUGCUGUUCGUGGUCUGCUGAUGGUGCUAGGAUAAUGGUGGCAGCAAAAAAUAAAGUCUUUCUUUUCGACAUUCAUACCAGUGGCCUUUUGGCAGAAAUCCACACAGGCCAUCAUAGCACUGUCCAGUACUGUGACUUCUCUCCCCAUAACCAUUUGGCAUUGGUGGCUUUGUCCCAGUACUGUGUGGAGUUGUGGAAUGUGGACUCAUGUUUGAAAGUAGCUGACUGCAGAGGACAUUUAAGUUGGGUUCAUUGUGUGAUGUUUUCUCCUGAUGGAUCAUCGUUUUUGACGUCUUCUGAUGACCAGACAAUCAGGCUCUGGGAGACAAAGAAAGUAUGUAAGAACUCUGCUAUAGUGUUAAAGCAAGAAAUAGAUGUUGUGUUUCAAGAAAAUGAAGUGAUGGUUCUUGCAGUUGACAAUAUAAGACGUCUGCAACUCAUUAAUGGAAAAACAGGUCAGAUUGAUUAUCUGACUGAAGCUCAUGUUAGUUGCUGUUGCUUAAGUCCACAUCUUCAGUACGUUGCAUUCGGAGGCGAAGAUGGAGCCAUUCAGAUUUUAGAACUUCUAAACAACAGAGUCUUCCAAUCAAAGAUUGGGCACAAGAACACUGUACGGCACAUUCAGUUCACAGCUGAUGGAAGGAAUCUUAUUUCAAGCUCUGAUGAUUGUACAAUUCAGAUAUGGAAUUGGCAAUCAGAGGAAUAUGUCUUUCUGCAAGCCCAUCAGGAAGCAGUGAAAGACUUUAAACUCUUGAAAAAUUCAAGACUGCUUUCCUGGUCAUUUGAUGGAACAGUGAAGGUGUGGAAUUUUAUUACUGGAAGAAUAGAAAAGGACUUUGUCUGUCACCAGGAUACAGUGCUUUCUUGUGAUAUUUCUCCUGAUGCUACCAAGUUUUCUUCUACCUCUGCUGACAAGACUGCAAAAAUUUGGAGUUUUGAACUCAUUUCCCCUCUUCAUGAAUUGAGAGGCCACAAAGGCUGUGUGCGCUGCUCUGCUUUCUCUGUGGACAGUACCCUGCUGGCAACUGGAGAUGACAACGGAGAAAUCAGGAUCUGGAAUGUCUCAAACGGUGAGCUGCUUCAUUUGUGUGCUCCGAUUUCAGUAGAAGAAGGAGCUGCUACUCAUGGAGGCUGGGUAACCGACCUUUGCUUUUCUCCAAAUAGCAAAAUGCUCGUUUCUGCUGGAGGGUAUCUUAAGGAUGGUUUCAGCCCUUUGGAGUUCAAAGCCCUAGGCCUCUGCGUGUCAGGCUGGGAGUGCCCCGAGAUUACUUCAGCAUGUGUUUUGGAGAGUAGCAAAUAUACCUGGAUCCAGCAGAGGGGUGAUCUUCUGAAAGUCACAGGAAAGAAUGUCCCCAGGAAUGGACAGCAGCCUUUUGCCCGUGACAAGGCCACACAAACAGAGCAGUCUUCCUCCUGGGCUGGAUAGGAAGCCUGCUCUGGGACUGCUCGGCGUGCAAGGCACCGCAAGGACAGGAGGACGUCAAGAUGGCAGAGUGGUAGGACCAUGAACUUGCCUCUCCUCACGUCUACAACGAAACCACAACUGAAUGCUAAACAACCAUCGGAAAAAGACUGGAACCUAGCACAAAAGAUCUGCAACUGGAAACAUAAAGAGGGAACCACGACAGGAUGGUAGGAGGGCCGUGGUCGCGAUACAAUUGGGUCCUAUACGCCUCGGGUGGGUGACCCACAGCUGAAGAUUUGUUAACUCACAGAAGCCCUCCCACAGGAGUGAAAGCUCUGAGUCCCACGUCAGGCUCCCCAGCCCGGGUCCUGGCACCGGGAAGAGGAGAUCCCAGGACAUCUGGUUUUGAAGGCCAGCAGGGCUUGGCUCCAGGAGCCUCACAGGACAGGGGGAAACGGAGACUCCAUUGGCUUGGGAAGCGUACAUGGAAACUCACGUGCACCAGGUCCAAGGGCAGAGGCAGUGAUUUCAUAGGAACCUGGGCCAGACCUGCCUGCUGGAUUUGUAGGUUCCUCUGGGGAUCUGGGGGACGGCUAUAGCUCACUUAGGGGACAUAAAAGCUGGUGGUAGAUGUUCUGGGAGUAUUAAUCUACAUGAGCUUUCCUGGAGGCUGACAUCUUGAUUGGAUCAUUAGAAUCAAGAACUAGACCCACCCAACAGCCUGUAGGGAAGCCUCAGGCCAAACAACAUACAGGGUGGGAACACAGCCACACCCAUCAGCAGACUUCCUAAGCCACAAAGGCCUCUAGACACAUCCAGAGGUCCAGGACCAAGCUUCACCCAGCAGUGGGCAGGCACUGGUUCCUUCAGCCAGGAAACCUGCAUAAGCCUCUAGUCCAGCCUCAUCCACCAGGGGCAGAUACUAGAAAUAAGAAAACAAUAAUCCCAAAGCCUAUGGAAGGAAUCCAGAAACACGCAGAAAGAUAGACGAUAUGAGGUGGCAAAGGAAUAUCUCCCAGGCCAAGGCACAAGAUAAAAUCUCAGAAGAAGAAAUAAGUGAUGAGGAGAUAGGUAAUUUAUCUGAGAAAGAGUUUAAAGUAAUGAUGGCCAAGAUGUUCAGAGAACUCAAAAGGAGUAUAGAUGCACAGAGUGAAGUUUUUGCAAAAAGUUGGAAAACAUAAAGAAUACCCAAACAGAGUGAAGAAUAAAAUCACUGAAAUGAACAAUACACUAGAAGGAGCCAAGAACAGACUAAAUGAGGCAGAAGAACGGAUCACUGAGCUAGAAGACAGAUUAGUGGAAAUCACUACUUCAAAACAGAUAAAAGAAAAAAGAAUAAGAAAUGAGAAUAGUUUAAAAGAACUCUGGGACAACAUGAAGUGCACUAAUAUUCGAAUUAUAGUGGUCCUAGAAAGAAAAGAGACAGAGGACCUGAGAAUAUUUUUGGAGAAAUAAUCACUGAAAACUUCCCCAACUUGGGAAAGGAAACAGGCACCAAGUCCAGGAAGUACAGAGAGUACCACACAGAAUUAACCCCAAGAGGAACACACCAACGCACGUAGUCAUCCAAUUGACAACAAUUAUGUAUAAGGAGAAAAUAUUAAAAUUAGCAAGAGAAAAGCAACAAAUAACAUACAAGGGAACUCCCAUAAGGUUAUCAGCUGAUUUUUCAGCAGAAACUCUACAGGCCAGAAGGGAGUGGCACAAUAUACUUAAAGUCAUGCAAGGGGGGAACUUACAACCAAGAAUACUCUCCUCAGCAAGGCUCUCGUUCUGACUUGACAGAGAAAUCAGAAGCUUCAUCGAUAAACAAAAGCUGAAAGAUUUCAGCACCACCAAACCAGCUUUAUAACAAAUGUUAAAGGAUCUUCUGUAGUCAUCAAACCAUUAAAAAAAAAGCACAAAAAGAAAGAGGAAAAAAAAGAGACCUACAAAAGAUUGCUUUGGCUGUUCAGGGUCUUUUGUGGUUCCUUACAAAUUUUGGAAUUGUUUGUUCUAGUUCUGUGAGAAAUGUCAUGAGCCUUUUGACGGGGGUUGCGUUGGAUCUGUGGAUUGCUUUGGGUAGUGGGGCCAUUUUGAUAGUGUUGAUUCUUCCAAUCCAAGAGCACAAGAAAUCUUUCCAUUUCUUUGUGUUUUUUCGGUUUUCAGAGUAUAGGUAACCUCCUUGGUUAGGUUUAUCUCUAGGUAUUUUGUUGUUUUUGAUGUAAUGGAAAUGUCUCUGCCAGUUACAAAAUUCUGGUUUUUGAAAUGAAUGAAGGGCCACAAAUGGCAAAAUAUCCUCCUUUUUAAUGGCUGAUCUGAAUUCCAUUCCAUACACACACACACACACACACACACACACACACACACACACACACAGCUGCAUCUCCAUUAUCUAUUCAACUACUGAUGUGCACUUAGGGUGCUUCCAUAUCUUGGCAAUUAUAAAUAAUGUUGCUGUUAAUAGCAGGGUGUAUGUAUCUUUUUGAAUUAAUUCUUAUUUUGUGGUUGGCUUUAUUCCUUUGAUAACUAUGUUAGUUUAAAAAGCUAAAGCUCUGAACAUUCUUAGAAACAAUAAAUAGUAUGUAUAUGUAAGUUAAAAAAUACAUGUGCAGUUAAAAAAAAAGAUCAAGCCAUGAAAGACAUAGAAGAAACUUAAAAGACAUAUUACUAAAUGAAAGAAACCAGUCUGAAAAGGCUACAAACUGUACAAUUCCAACCAAAUGACAUUUGAAAAGGCAAAGCUACAGAAACAAUAAAAAGAUCAUGGUUUCCAGGGGUUUGGGGGGAGGGAGGGAUGAAUAGAUGGAGCACAAGGGAUUUUUAGGGCAAUGAAAUUACUCUGUAUGAUACUACAGGGGUGGCUACAUGUCAUUAUCCAUUUGUCAAAACCCAUAGAAUGUACAUCAAGAGUGAGCCCUAAUGUAAAUUGUGGACUUUGGUUGAUAAUAAUGUGCCCAUGUUGGUUCAUCGAUUGUACCAAAUAUGCCACACUGAUGAGGGAUGCUGAGGGUAGGGGACUAUAUAUGUGUGGGUGGAGCGGGCUAUGUGCAAACUCUGUAUUUUCUGCUCAAUUCUGUUGUGAACCUGAAACUGCUCUAAGAGAAUAAAGUCUAUUAAAAAAAAUGAUAGUAACAACAAAGUA